rnacentral:lncRNA from 1 species
GGGCGCGGGGCCGCCGUGCACCGUCUCCAUGGCGAGAGGCGCGUCCCGCCGCGCGCACGCGCAAUGGAGGGGAGAGGCGGCUGCAGGCGGCGAGAGCCCAUGGGGGGCGCUCUGAGCAGCCAUGUGGGUCCCAGAGGCCAUGAGGAGAGGCCACCGCUCUGGGUCCAGGGUGAGGAGCCCCUGCCUGAGGAGAGGCUCCCGUACAGCGGGGAGACGCUUGCAACCACCACCAAGAGGCUCCGGGAGAUGUCAGAGAUAGCCGAGCCGCCCUGGGAGAUGUCAGAGAUAGCCGAGCCGCCCCAGGAGAUAGCAGACACAGAUGAGCUGCCCACUGUGCCCCUAUCAGCCGUGCCCAGCAAGGUGCCAUCCCGAGAGAUUAGGAGGAAUCCCUCUGAGAUCAAGCUGCCUCCCUGGCUUGGAAAGUGGGGGACUGGCUCCGAGGAGAAGUCCUCCGCCACACUGCCGGCGCUGCCGCCCACCCCAUCCACGCCAGCAGAGAAGCCCAGCCAGGCGGUGCCCCAGCGGAGCUGUGUGACCCAUGACUGGCAGAAGGAGGUAGUCGUGGAUCCCCUGGACUCUCGGCCAAGGAAGGAUUUGGGCAGUGAGGACUUACAGCGUGGCUACGAUGGACUGCCAAUCCACCAAUUUCUCUCCUCAGUCACUGACAGCGCCCCCCCGAAGGACUGCCCAACCCUCAGGGCUGUGCUGCUGGGGCAAGGGCAGCGGAAGGCCGCAUUGGCAUCCAUGCUCUUCAAGAAAUACAGCAAGGAGACGGAGGAGGAGAUUCGGCCCCGCCCAAAGCGCAUGGAAUCUAUCUCCACCACGCAUGAUGACUACUGUGCCAUGGGCUUCCAGUCCACACCCCAGCCCAUCACCCAGGUACAGUCAGUAGAUAUCCCCCCCAGCAGCUUGCAGCAGCCUCCAGGGAGGCGGCAAGGCUCUUGUCCUGCUGAGCAUGCCAUCCCCUCCGGCUCACAUUUUGCUUCCACUGCAGCGUCACGAUUACUUAACGGAGCAGCCAAGCAGCUUCUGGAUGGAGCAAGCCCGUGGACGGCCGGUAAGGCUCCCACCACCCUGUCCUGCCAGUACCCUGGGACUCUCAGCUGCUGA